rnacentral:rRNA from 1 species
UUAAGCGACUAAGCGUACACGGUGGAUGCCCGGCAGUCAGAGGCGAUGAAGGACGUGCUAAUCUGCGAAAAGCGUCGGUAAGGUGAUAUGAACCGUUAUAACCGGCGAUGUCCGAAUGGGGAAACCCAGUGCAAUUCGUUGCACUAUCGUUAACUGAAUACAUAGGUUAACGAGGCGAACCGGGAACUGAAACAUCUAAGUACCCCGAGGAAAAGAAAUCAACCGAGAUUCCCCAGUAGCGGCGAGCGAACGGGAGCAGCCCAGAGUCUGAAUCAGCUUGUGUGUUAGUGGAACGGUCUGGAAAGUCCGACGGUACAGGGUGAUAGUCCCGUACACCAAAAUGCACAGGUUGUGAACUCGAAGAGUAGGGCGGGACACGUGGUAUCCUGUCUGAAUAUGGGGACCAUCCUCCAAGGCUAAAUACUCCUGACUGACCGAUAGUGAACCAGUACCGUGAGGAAAGGCGAAAAGAACCCGGCGAGGGAGUGAAAAGAACCUGAAACCGUGUACGUACAAGCAGUGGGAGCACCUUCGGGUGUGACUGCGUACCUUUGUAUAAUGGGUCAGCGACUUAUAUUCUGUAGCAAGGUUAACCGUAUAGGGAGCCGCAGGAAACCGAGUCUUAACUGGGCGUUAAGUUGCAGGGUAUAGACCCGAAACCCGGUGAUCUAGCCAUGGGCAGGUUGAAGGUUGGUAACACUAACUGGAGGACCGAACCGACUAAUGUUGAAAAUUAGCGGAUGACUUGUGGCUGGGGUGAAAGGCCAAUCAAACCGGGAGAUAGCUGGUUCUCCCGAAAGCUAUUUAGGUAGCGCCUCGUGAACUCAUCUUCGGGGUAGAGCACUGUUUCGGCUAGGGGUCAUCCCGACUUACCAACCCGAUGCAAACUACGAAUACCGAAGAAUGUUAUCACGGGAGACACACGGCGGGUGCUAACGUCCGUCGUGAAGAGGAAACAACCCAGACCGCCAGCUAAGGUCCCAAAGUCAUGGUUAAGUGGGAAACGAUGUGGGAAGGCACAGACAGCCGAUGUUGGCUCAGAGUCUCACUGGUCGAGUCGGCCUGCGCGGAAGAUGUAACGGGCUAAACCAUGCACCGAAGCUGCGGCAGCGACACUAUGUGUUGUUGGGUAGAGCGUUCUGUAAGCCUGCGAAGGUGACCUGUGAGGGUUGCUGGAGGUAUCAGAAGUGCGAAUGCUGACAUAAGUAACGAUAAAGCGGGUGAAAAGCCCGCUCGCCGGAAGACCAAGGGUUCCUGUCCAACGUUAAUCGGGGCAGGGUGAGUCGACCCUAAGGCGAGGCCGAAAGGCGUAGUCGAUGGGAAACAGGUUAAUAUUCCUGUACUUGGUGUUACUGCGAAGGGGACGGAGAAGGCUAUGUUAGCCGGGCGACGGUUGUCCCGGUUUAAGCAUGUAGGCUGGUUGUCCGAGCAAAUCCGGAUAAUCAAGGCUGAGGUGUGAUGACGAGGCACUACGGUGCUGAAGUAACAAAUGCCCUGCUUCGAGGAAAAGCCUCUAAGCAUCAGGUAACAUUAAAUCGUACCCCAAACCGACACAGGUGGUCAGGUAGAGAAUACCAAGGCGCUUGAGAGAACUCGGGUGAAGGAACUAGGCAAAAUGGUGCCGUAACUUCGGGAGAAGGCACGCUGGUGUGUAGGUGAAGUCCCUGCGGAUGGAGCUGAGACCAGUCGAAGAUACCAGCUGGCUGCAACUGUUUAUUAAAACACAGCACUGUGCAAACACGAAAGUGGACGUAUACGGUGUGACGCCUGCCCGGUGCCGGAAGGUUAAUUGAUGGGGUUAUCCGUAAGGAGCUCUUGAUCGAAGCCCGGUAAACGGCGGCCGUAACUAUAACGGUCCUAAGGUAGCGAAAUUCCUUGUCGGGUAAGUUCCGACCUGCACGAAUGGCGUAAUGAUGGCGGCUGUCUCCACCGAGACUCAGUGAAAUUGAACUCGCUGUGAAGAUGCAGUGUACCCGCGGCAAGACGGAAAGACCCGUGAACCUUUACUAUAGCUUGACACUGAACAUUGAGCCUUGAUGUGUAGGAUAGGUGGGAGGCUUUGAAGCGUGGACGCCAGUCUGCGUGGAGCCAACCUUGAAAUACCACCCUUUAAUGUUUGAUGUUCUAACGUUGGCCCCUUAUCGGGGUUGCGGACAGUGUCUGGUGGGUAGUUUGACUGGGGCGGUCUCCUCCCAAAGCGUAACGGAGGAGCACGAAGGUUAGCUAAUCGGUCGGACAUCAGGAGGUUAGUGCAAUGGCAUAAGCUAGCUUGACUGCGAGCGUGACGGCGCGAGCAGGUGCGAAAGCAGGUCAUAGUGAUCCGGUGGUUCUGAAUGGAAGGGCCAUCGCUCAACGGAUAAAAGGUACUCCGGGGAUAACAGGCUGAUACCGCCCAAGAGUUCAUAUCGACGGCGGUGUUUGGCACCUCGAUGUCGGCUCAUCACAUCCUGGGGCUGAAGUAGGUCCCAAGGGUAUGGCUGUUCGCCAUUUAAAGUGGUACGCGAGCUGGGUUUAGAACGUCGUGAGACAGUUCGGUCCCUAUCUGCCGUGGGCGCUGGAGAAUUGAGGGGCUGCUCCUAGUACGAGAGGACCGGAGUGGACGCAUCACUGGUGUUCGGGUUGUCAUGCCAAUGGCACUGCCCGGUAGCUAAAUGCGGAAGAGAUAAGUGCUGAAAGCAUCUAAGCACGAAACUUGCCCGAGAUGAGUUCUCCUGAGACUUUAAGUCUCCUGAAGGAACGUUAAAGACGAUGACGUUGAUAGGCCGGGUGUGUAAGCGCAGCGAUGCGUUGAGCUAACCGGUACUAAUGAACCGUGAGGCUUAACCUU